rnacentral:rRNA from 1 species
GUCGAACGGACUCAUAUUGAAACCUAGUGAUUUAUGAGUUAGUGGCGGACGGGUGAGUAACGCGUGGAUAACCUGCCGUAUACCGGGGGAUAACACUUAGAAAUAGGUGCUAAUACCGCAUAAGCGCACGGCUCCGCAUGGGGCAGUGUGAAAAACUCCGGUGGUAUACGAUGGAUCCGCGUCUGAUUAGCUAGUUGGCGGGGUAACGGCCCACCAAGGCAGCGAUCAGUAGCCGGCCUGAGAGGGUGGACGGCCACAUUGGGACUGAGACACGGCCCAAACUCCUACGGGAGGCAGCAGUGGGGAAUAUUGCACAAUGGGGGAAACCCUGAUGCAGCGACGCCGCGUGAGUGAAGAAGUAUCUCGGUACGUAAAGCUCUAUCAGCAGGGAAGAAAAUGACGGUACCUGACUAAGAAGCCCCGGCUAACUACGUGCCAGCAGCCGCGGUAAUACGUAGGGGGCAAGCGUUAUCCGGAUUUACUGGGUGUAAAGGGAGCGUAGACGGCAGCACAAGUCUGGAGUGAAAUCCCGGGGCUUAACCCCGGAACUGCUUUGGAAACUGUGCGGCUGGAGUGCAGGAGGGGUAAGCGGAAUUCCUAGUGUAGCGGUGAAAUGCGUAGAUAUUAGGAGGAACACCGGUGGCGAAGGCGGCUUACUGGACUGUAACUGACGUUGAGGCUCGAAAGCGUGGGGAGCAAACAGGAUUAGAUACCCUGGUAGUCCACGCCGUANACGAUGAUUACUAGGUGUCGGGGGACCNAGGUCCUCCGGUGCCGGCGCAAACGCA